AUUGAACGUUGGCGGCAGGCCUAAAACAUGCAAGUCGAACGGUAACAGCGAGAGCUUGCUCUCGGCUGACAAGUGGCGAACGGGUGAGUAACGCGUAGGAAUCUACCCAGUAGUGGGGGACAACCCGGGGAAACCCGGGCUAAUACCGCAUACGCUCUGCGGAGGAAAGCGGGGGAUCUUCGGACCUCGCGCUAUUGGAGGAGCCUGCGUCGAUUAGCUAGUUGGUAGGGUAAAGGCCUACCAAGGCGACGAUCCGUGGCUGGUCUGAGAGGACGAUCAGCCACACUGGAACUGAGACACGGUCCAGACUCCUACGGGAGGCAGCAGUUAGGAAUCUUGGGCAAUGGGCGCAAGCCUGACCCAGCCAUGCCGCGUGUGUGAAGAAGGCCCUCGGGUUGUAAAGCACUUUCAGUGGUGAAGAAAAGCUCGAGGCUAAUACCCUCGGGUCUUGACGUUAGCUACAGAAGAAGCACCGGCUAACUCCGUGC
rnacentral:rRNA from 1 species